rnacentral:lncRNA from 1 species
AAUAUUUUGAUUUUAAAAGAUGGAAAACAAUGCCAAUGAGAAAUUUUAAUGGGAGUAAAUAACCAGUUAUGCCCCUUGGAAAUUCAUGACAUAUUUCGAUAUAUAUUUAGUUGAAAGGAUCUUUAUUGAUUAAAAAGUGUUUUUGAGAGUCAAUGCCCUUUUGUCCUACAACUAUUUCUGUCACACUUUUCUCUGGAACUACUCAACAAAUUUUUGCAAGCAGCAUGACAGCUAUAAGUUUUAAUGUUCGAGUGCUUUUU